CAGUCGAGCGGACCGACGGGAGCUUGCUCCCUUAGGUCAGCGGCGGACGGGUGAGUAACACGUGGGUAACCUGCCUGUAAGACUGGGAUAACUCCGGGAAACCGGGGCUAAUACCGGAUGCUUGAUUGAACCGCAUGGUUCAAUCCUAAAAGGGGGCUUUUAACUACCACUUUCAGAUGGACCCGCGGCGCAUUAACUAGUUGGUGAGGUAACGGCUCACCAAGGCGACCAUGCGUAACCCAACUGAGAGGGUGAUCGGCCACACUGGGACUGAAACACGGCCCAGACUCCUACGGGAGGCAGCAGUAGGGAAUCUUCCGCAAUGGACGAAAGUCUGACGGAACAACGCCCCGUGAGUGAUGAAGGUUUUCGGAUCGUAAAACUCUGUUGGUAGGGAAGAACAAGUACCGUUCGAAUAGGGCGGUACCUUGACGGUACCUAACCAGAAAGCCACGGCUAACUACGUGCCAGCAGCCGCGGUAAUACGUAAGUGGCAAGCGUUGUCCGGAAUUAUUGGGCGUAAAGCGCGCGCAGGCGGUUUCUUAAGUCUGAUGUGAAAGCCCCCGGCUCAACCGGGGAGGGUCAUUGGAAACUGGGGAACUUGAGUGCAGAAGAAGAGAGUGGAAUUCCACGUGUAGCGGUGAAAUGCGUAGAGAUGGGAAGAACACCAGUGGCGAAGCGACUCUCUGGUCUGUAACUGACGCUGAGCGCGAAAGCGUGGGAGCGAACAGGAUUAGAUACCCUGGUAGUCCACGCCGUAAACGAUGAGUGCUAAGUGUUAGAGGGUUUCCGCCCUUUAGUGCUGCAGCAAAC
rnacentral:rRNA from 1 species